UUUUUUUUUUUUUUUUUUUAAGAUUUUAUUUCUUUAUUUAUUCAUGAGAGUCAGAGAGAGAGGCAGAGACACAGGCAGAGGGAGAAGCAGGCUCCAUGCAGGGAGUCGAUCCCAGGUCUCUAGGAUCAUGCCCUGGGCUGAAGGCCGGCACUAAACCACUGAGCCACCCAGGGAUCCCCUAGAUUUGGUUUAAUGCUCCGUAGCCACUACCCUGAAAUUUCAGAUGACAUUUUUUUUUUUUUGAAUUUCUGUUUUGCAAGCAAAGUCUGAUGAGACGACAAAGCACGCGUGAGCAAAGGAGGUACGCUGGCCCCCGCGCGCACACACAUUGCCUUCAGGCCGGUGAGCAGAGCUUCAGGCGUGUGCUGAAGGCACAGCCAGGCCCAGCUCUGAAACCAGCUGUGCUCGUGGAAGAAGCACCCACGGCAGCAGUAGCAGCUGCAGCCCCCAAGGACAGAGAGCCCCCCCCGCCAGAAGCAGAGCCAGGGCAGCAGUGGGGGGCCGGUGUGCCCAGCCAUCCCCAGAGCCCAUCCCUGCAGCACCUGCACACAUUCUGACUCUCCAGUUGGAGAACCAGGGCUGCCAGGCCUCAAAACUGUCAGUAAAUUACCACAAAAUGAAAUGGUGCGCACGGACGUUGUAAUAAAACCUGUCAGAGAGCUAUUUGAAUCCUUUAAAGAGUUUAGAAGCUCUAGUUUUAAAAACUUUCACAGUGCCACAAAGCAAAUAUCCACAAGCUGAGAAAUAGAAAAUAAAUUUUAAAGACCAUUACUUUCAACAGAAAGGACAUUAUUUUCCUUUGAAGCUUGAGAUAAAUCAAUUAUUAAUAAGAGAUGAUUUAAAACUAAUUUUUCUUAUAAUGGAAGAUAAAGCAACAAAGGCAUACAUAAGCAUGUUUAAUUAUACACUAAUUAUGAAACUGCUUUCAAUUUCUUGUACAAUCUCUACAAGUUACAGGAAAUGCCAGAGGAAACAUUAAACUGCCAUUGGAUAAAUUUAUUUUUAAAAUUAAAUUCAGACUUACAUGAAGCUCAUCAUCAGCUCUAGACGUACUAACAUUUUUAUUUUGAAAUACUUUACCAGAAAUUUACCCCAAUGUUGUUUCAGCCUCUAAAAUAUACCUAACAUUUCCAGGAACCAUUGCACCAACAGAGAGAUCCUUCUCAAAAAUAACAAUUAUCAAAAAUCAUUUGAGAUCUUGCAUUUGCCAAGAAUGACUAAUUUCACUUCCAAUUAUAUCAAUUGAAAAUGAAGUUGCUGAAAGUAUAACUUUUGAUGACCUAAUAAAUGAAUUUGCAAAAAGGCAAACCAGCAAAAUCUUAUGAUCAAGAUCCAGGAUCAUGAUCCAGGAUCAUGCCCUGGGCCAAAGGCAGGCGCCAAACCGCUGAGCCACCCAGGGAUCCCCUCUUUUAGAACUUUUAAUGGCACUUCAUUCCUGCUUUUUGAACAAGGGCCCUAAAUUUUUAUUUUGCACUGGGCCCUGCAAAUGACACAGUCAGCCCCACCUGGACUGUUUUCCAGAGGUGAUAGAGCUGUGACCAUCGCCCUCUGUAAAGAAGGCUGGGCAUCUAUCUGUUAGACAGCUGGCCUUCGGAAGUAAACUGGUCCAUUCAGAGAAGGACCGGGGAUCUUGCGUCCUUACAUACUGGCCCACAGCUGAGCAAAAGCAAAAUAAUGUGCAGGCCAAUCAUAGGCCUCUCCUCUGUCAACUGCAGUGGAACUCCCAGCACACACACGCACACACACACACAUACACACACACCCCACCCCCAGCCACAUGGACUCUGCAGUGAGUUAUGGCUGAGAGCAUCAUCCCAAUCUCCCUCUUUUGUCGGUGUCUUUUCCUUCUCUGAUGAACAUCUGCACUCCUUUGGGGACAUGGCACAGAGAAAACUGUAUUCCUAUUGACGGACGUCAGCAUGAUAGGUUACAUUUUUGUUAUCCAGAUGCCCAUGCCCAGUUUUUCAGCCUUUGCCUCUGAAUACUAUUUGGUGAUUCCUGUUCAGAUACCCAGAAGCAGCUCUCACAGGGCCAAUUCCCCAAAGCUAGAGUCUUGGCAAUGGAUGAAAGCCCUGUAGGACUGCAGGCUCAAUUGAAGAAAAAGAAAGUCAACCUUCCAGGGAGGAGCUGUUGGGAUAGAAGCUGAUGCUCCGCUGUCCUCUGCUGAACAAGGCAGAGCACAGACUCUGCUGGCAAGGUGAUCUCCUUUUUAUUUCCUUUCAUACAAAACACAUUUGGCAACUUUCAUAAAAACACAACCACAAAAGACACCUGGGUGGCUCAGUGGUUGAGCAUCUGCCUUCGGCUCAGGGUGUGAUCCUGGGGUCACUGGGAUCUAGUCCUAUAUCAGACUCCCUGCAGGGAGCCUGCUUCUCCCUCUGCCUGUGUCUCUGCCUCUCUGUGAAUGAAUGAAUGAAUGAAUGAAUGAAUGAAUGAAUGAAUGAAUAAAUAAAUAAUCUUUAAAAAAACAAAAAACGCAACCACAAGUGUGAUUAUCCUUGAGCCACCUGAGCUCUAGACCCUUCUCCAGUUCCCACUACCGUACAACUUGAUGACUUGACCAUUUCCUGCCUUGUCCUGUUUUCUGUCUCCAUGUGCGUACAUCACAAGCUCCUGGAGGACAGAGACCACAUCUUCUUCUUCAUGAGUUACCCAGACUCCAAGCAUGAUGACAAUAAUAUAGUUCUUAGAACACUUACAGCCCACUUCCCAUUCGUUAACUUGUCAGCCCUCACAGCACACCUCUCCAAGCCAAGGUAAUGCUCCUUUUACAGAGGAGAUCAUUCCGUCUGACCAAACCUUUGUGGAGCAGGUGUCUUUAAAAGGGCACGCAUCACUCUCUUGGCACACCCCGAGCACAGUGCAUAUUACAACGCCAGGUAUUUCAUGAGACCCUGUGAUGACAGAUGUUUCCACGUUUAGCAUCAGAACCAUAACCCAGUGACUGUGUUUUCUACUACAUGGCAGCGCAUCCUGAGACUACCUCUCCUGUUACACCCACCUGCAUGGUUCUGGGACUGCUGAGCAUGUCAAGGACUUUGGGGCUCGAGGGGAUAGAGCUCUCCCAAACGUGAGUCUUCGAGGUGGCCUCCCACUUCCUGCACUCUUCUGAGGUACAGUGGGCAGCAACAGUGCUUGCUAAAGGCACCCUGCCUAGACUUGCUUCAUGACAGCAGUGACUAUCCACAAGCCAUAGGUUCUGGUUCUGUUUCUUGCCCUGAUAGGUUAGGGAAACAUAGAGGUGUAGGACUCCAAAACACAGCUUCCCCCACCCCCCCCCAUCCCCCCGCCUACCCCCACACACAAGGGCUUCUCUGAGUGACUAAGGCCCAGCAGAUUCUGGCCAACAGGACAGUCCCAACUCACUGCAACUUUAAUAAAUGGUUUUCACAUAUUUAUAACCAUGGAAUAAGGAAGACCUACAUAAGGUACAAAAACACAGAAGCCAUGAAGAAGAAAAUGACUAAAAGCCUGGGCAGAGUAAUAAUUCAAUAAACAAUAUCACAACGUUAAGAGAAAGUGGUAUAUUAAAAUAUCUGCAGCAGUUAGAACAAAGGAUUAACAGUCAAGAUGAAACCACGUAAGAGCAUAAAGGUGAACAAAAAACAAAAUGGCUGCACUAAUGCUUCUUCCAGGCCAUGCCGCCCUCGAGUGGAGCCCAGUACCGCCCUCAAGACACGACGAAGGAGGCUGGCAGCACAAUUUCUGUCGAAACCGGCUAGAUCCUAUAUUUCCCUAUAAACCCCCAGCCCCUUCCUCUGGGGUCUUGCAGUUUUUGAAGGCCUUAGCCUGUUGUAGCCUCCUUUGCCCGGCAAAGGAAUAAACCAGCUUCUUCCUCUACUAUACCUCUGCCCUUGGGUUACAUAUUUUUGGCUCGGGAGCACAGAGGUUGGUUUUCAACAAGUAUCAACAAUCUUACAAUAAGAAAAAAGGUGAACAAUUUAAUUAAAAAGGUGCACAAAAUGUAAAAGAAAUAUAAAUGGCAAACAGCAAAGGAAAAUAUGCCAAAUCUCGCUAUAAACAGAGAAAUGCAAUUAAAAUACUAAAAUAUAAUUGUUUUUUCAUGAAAUUAGCCAACAUUAAAGAGACGAAUAAUAAUCAGUAUUGGACCUUUAGCUAGACUUACCAGGAAAAAAAAAAGAGCAAAGACUCGAAUAAAUAAGAUUAUAUAUGAAAGGAGACAUUACAGAUGAUGCCACAGAAAUGCAAGAGACUACUAUGAACAAUUAUAAGCCAACAGAUUGGACAGCCUAAAAGAAAUGCAUAAAUUCCUAGAAAUACAUAACCUACCAAGACUGAAUCAUGAAAAAUUAGGAAACAUAAACAGACCAAUAACAAGUAGGGAGAUUAAGUCAAUAAGCAAAAACUCCCAACAAAGAAAAGCCCAGGGCUAGCUAACUCCACUGGUGAAUGCUACCAAACAUUUAAAGAAGAAUUAAUGCCAAUCCUUCUCAAACUCUUCCAAACAAUUGACCUGAAUAGACUUCCAAAGAAGGUAUACAAAUGGCCAACAAGUACACGAAAAUGUACUCAGCAUCACUCAUCAUCAGGGAAAUGCAAAUCAAAACCACAAUGAGAUAUCACCUGACACCUAUUAGAAUGGCUGUUAUCAAAAAGACAGGGAUUAAACAAAUACUGUAUGGUCUCAUUUAUAUGCAGAACCUAAAAAGCCACACUCACAGAAACACAAACAGAGUAGACUGGCGGUUGCCAGGGCCUAGGGGAUGGGGAAAAUGAGGUGAUGUUGGUCAAAAAAUACAAACUUCCAGUUAUAAGAGAGAUAAGUUCUGGGGAUCUGACCUUCAGCAAGGCAACUACAGUUAUUAUGAUAUUGUGUAUUUGAGAGCCCCUAAAAGAGUAGAUCUCUUAAGUGUUCUCACCUUAACAACAGCAACAAAAAAUGGUAAUUAUGUAAGGUGAUGGAUGUGGUAACCUCACAGUGCCAAUCAUUUCACAAUAUAUGUGUGUAUCACAUCAUUACAUCGUGCUCUUGAAACUUAAGAAUGUUAUAUGUUAUAUGAUAUGAUGAUAUCUCAAUAAAGCUGGAAGAGAAAAAAGUAUCUAGUGUUGGGAGUUAGGACAGCAGGUAGGUUGCAUCAAAUUUUAAAAUGUCUAUGCUAGGCCACCUGGGUGGCUCAGUGAUUGAGCAUCUGCCUUCGGCUCAGGUCACAAUCCCAGGGUCCUGGGAUCAAGUUCUGCAUCAGGCUCCCCACAGGGAGCCUGCUUCUCCCUCUGUCUGUGUCUCUGCCUCUCUCUGUGUGUCUCUCAUAAAUGAAUAAAUACAAUAUUUAAAAAAAUAAAAAUAAAACAUCUAUGCUCUGUGACACAGCAUUCUACUCCCAACAGCUAACCUAGAGAAGCACCUGAACUUGUAAAUGAAGGAUCAUGUAAAAAAAACAAUGUUAAUUACAAUACUGUUUAUAUAAGCUCAACACUGGGGACAAACUUAAAUGCCCUCUAGUAGGGCACCUGGGUGGUUCAGUUGGUUAAUCAUCUGCCUUUGGCUCGGCUCAUGAUCCCAGGGUCCUGGGAUUGAGCCUGCUUCCUCCUUUGUCUCCGCCUCUCUCUCUGUCUCUCAUGAAUAAAAAUCUUUAAAAAAAAAAAAAAAAAAA
rnacentral:lncRNA from 1 species